rnacentral:lncRNA from 1 species
AAACGCAUGAAGCGAACUCUAAACAGAAAAAGGAGACGACACGAAGAAUAAUAAAUAAUAAGAAGAAACCCUAAGCCUAAGGCUUAAUGGAUAUUGACAUAGAAAAGACGAGGGAAGGUUAGGGUGCGUAGGAUAAGGCGAAGAGAGAGAAAAGGGAAGGACCGAAGGUGACACAGGCGGUGCAGGAAGCAUCGGGGCGUACUAACAUGCGCCGAGUGGGCGCCAUUUUGUUAACGUGCACUUUUUUCUUUUUAUGAUUUUGUGUCGUUUGUUUGCGUUGUGUGUACUUCCCGUUUGAACAAAUUAAACCAAUCUACCAUGAACAAACUGUGCAUUAGCUCGUAAAAACAUGAAAUUGAACCCAAUUGAUAACACCAAAACCAGAACACAUGAGUACACACCUCAAGAUUAAACAGAUUGGAAUAGGAAAGCGAGUCCCUGGCUUGUCUCCUGUGUUCCAUGAAGCAGAGAGCUUGAAGAUAAACUUCAGAAGCAAAAGCCUAAGAUUUUGAAACGCAUGAAGCGAACUCUAAACAGAAAAAGGAGACGACACGAAGAAUAAUAAAUAAUAAGAAGAAACCCUAAGCCUAAGGCUUAAUGGAUAUUGACAUAGAAAAGACGAGGGAAGGUUAGGGUGCGUAGGAUAAGGCGAAGAGAGAGAAAAGGGAAGGACCGAAGGUGACACAGGCGGUGCAGGAAGCAUCGGGGCGUACUAACAUGCGCCGAGUGGGCGCCAUUUUGUUAACGUGCACUUUUUUCUUUUUAUGAUUUUGUGUCGUUUGUU